UACGGAGGGUGCGAGCGUUAAUCGGAAUUACUGGGCGUAAAGCGCAUGCAGGCGGUUUGUUCAGUCAGCUGUGAAAGCCCGGGGCUCACCCUCGGAACAGCCUUUGAAACUGGCAGACUAGAGUACUGUAGAGGGGGGUAGAAUUUCAGGUGUAGCGGUGAAAUGCGUAGAGAUCUGAAGGAAUACCGGUGGCGAAGGCGGCCCCCUGGACAGAUACUGACACUCAGAUGCGAAAGCGUGGGGAGCAAACAGG
rnacentral:rRNA from 1 species